rnacentral:lncRNA from 1 species
GACGGAAUGAGAUUGCCUACACUUCAUGCUCUCUGAAAGUCUAGAUCUAGAUGAGAUUAUAUUUGUCAUUUUUUUUUUUGCUUGCACAAUAUUUGUCUCUCAUAGUUCUUAUCAAUUUUCUUUUCUUUAUAGGUAAUGCAAAAACCUUCAAAGCAACUCCAGAACCUUUAUCUGGCACUGCAGGACCCAUAACUGGAGCCAUUGGACCCAUAAGUGAGUUCCUUUUCUGUUUCCUAAUUCUGCACUCUUUGAUCUUCUAUGGGAUAUGGGACCUCUCCUUACCCAAGCUCUUUCCAUUUCCAGGAUGUCUCACCCACACUUCUUGAUUA